GCGGAUGUAGCCAAUGUGGAUCAAGGCAGUG
rnacentral:tRNA from 1 species